rnacentral:rRNA from 1 species
UGGCAGCUGGAAGACGGAAUCGUUACUAAGCGCCAGGUAGUCCUGGACACUGAAUCCAAGCGCGUACC